GAUGAACGCUGGCGGCGUGCCUAAUACAUGCAAGUCGAGCGAACGGACGAGAAGCUUGCUUUUCUGAUGUUAGCGGCGGACGGGUGAGUAACACGUGGAUAACCUACCUAUAAGACUGGGAUAACUUCGGGAAACCGGAGCUAAUACCGGAUAAUAUUUUGAACCGCAUGGUUCAAAAGUGAAAGACGGUCUUGCUGUCACUUAUAGAUGGAUCCGCGCUGCAUUAGCUAGUUGGUAAGGUAACGGCUUACCAAGGCAACGAUGCAUAGCCGACCUGAGAGGGUGAUCGGCCACACUGGAACUGAGACACGGUCCAGACUCCUACGGGAGGCAGCAGUAGGGAAUCUUCCGCAAUGGGCGAAAGCCUGACGGAGCAACGCCGCGUGAGUGAUGAAGGUCUUCGGAUCGUAAAACUCUGUUACUGGGGAAGAACAUAUGUGUAAGUAACUGUGCACAUCUUGACGGUACCUAAUCAGAAAGCCACGGCUAACCACGUG
rnacentral:rRNA from 1 species